GGGGGAUUCACUGUUAUACUUGGAGGCCAUGUCACCUGAGAGUCAAUGGGCAACGAUCAAAUUUCACCUUGAGCAGAUUCUUUUGUUUGCUUUUUAGUCACAAAUAGCUUGGCCCUAAGUGGUGGCUCCCAUUCUUGUAAGAUGCGUUUAUUCAUCGUGUAAUCACCAGUUCCCUGUAGUGGGGGCGUGGAUGGAGUGUCAGAGGCUCCUGCUGGUCUUUAGGGUGUCUGGCCUCCAGGAAUCCUAGAGUAAAUUGGGAACUACAGCACUCGAUGUUAGAGUUGUCGUGAAGAUUAAAGAAGGUGACGACUGGACAACUCCCAGCCCAAUACCUGAAACUGUACCAGCACCCAGUGAGCACUGCUAUUCCUGUGACUGCUGCACAUUUGCCUUAUCUCAGCAGUAUGCCUGUGUCACUUUUUUGUAUCUUUUCUCUUGGUACUAGGCACUCUUUUCUCAUGGGUACAUUCAGAGAAGAGGAAUGUUUGUUCACUGGUGAAGAGAACAUCCCGUGUACUAUCGUGUAGAAGUUGUAGUAGACGCUGUGGUCUUUCCAACAACAAACAAAGUAAGUUUUCGAAGUUUUAUUAUCAAGUAUGAUAACCUCUGUAGGGUUUUCUUGAGAUACCCUUUUUCAGAUAAACAAAACCUCUCUCU
rnacentral:lncRNA from 1 species